rnacentral:rRNA from 1 species
AAAUUGAAGAGUUUGAUCAUGGCUCAGAUUGAACGCUGGCGGCAGGCCUAACACAUGCAAGUCGAGCGGCAGCGGGAAGUAGUUUACUACUUUGCCGGCGAGCGGCGGACGGGUGAGUAAUGUCUGGGAAACUGCCUGAUGGAGGGGGAUAACUA